AUAGUUGCUAAAGUGCUUAGUCUGCGAUCCCCGUGUGAAAGCACUGUCCGACAAAGACUCUUCCAGAGAUUAUAAGCAGAACUCAAUAUGGCUUUCAAGCUUCCGUAUGAUAAGAGAGCGAGCCCGCCUAAAAGAGAGGUAUGACUUCCAAGGUCUUGUCUUAAGGGGAAUAGGGCACUAUACCUGAGAGGCUUCCAGAGCUAGUUAAAGGGGGAGGAAGGACAGAAUGAAUGAAAUCCCCUCUUCGCCAAAGGAAAAAAGUCUUUCAAUCUUCCGUAUUAUAAAAGAGCGAGCCCGCCUAAAAGAGAGGUAUGACAUCCAAGGUCUUGUCUUAAGGUGAAUAAGGCACUAUACCUGAGAGGCUUCCAGAGCUAGUUAAAGGGGGAGGAAGGACAGAAUGAAUGAAAUCCCCUCUUCGCCAAAGGAAAAAAGAAUCACUAAGA
rnacentral:lncRNA from 1 species